UUUUGUUUACCUUUAAUAUAACAUUUGUGUGUAUCUUUUCUCAGUUUGACCGUAUAAUUCUCUGUGUCUUCCUGGAGAAAGAUGAAGAGCUAUAUCUCCAGAAAAUGCCUGAAUAUUUCCCUUUCGCCUAAGCAGAAAUGGUGCCCCGUGUGGUAGGGACUCAGAAGAGCCAUAAACUGUAGCAUUUAGUCUACAGACACUAUUGAUCCUUUUUGAUUGACUGAUCCUGUUCAAACCCAUCCCAUAAUCACCCUGUGUGCUGUGUAAUGAUCUCAAUAAAGUAAUUUCUGCGAAAACA